rnacentral:tRNA from 1 species
GGUUGUGGCUCGGCGGUAGAGCACUCACCUAGCAAGUGCGAGACCCUGGGUUCAAUCCUUGGCACCA